rnacentral:rRNA from 1 species
GUCUCUGGCUGUCCGAGUUGUAAUCUAGAGAAGUGCUGCCCGCGCUGGACCGUGUACAAGUCUCCUGGAAUGGAGCGUCAUAGAGGGUGAGAAUCCCGUCUCUGACACGGACUACCAGGGCUUUGUGGUACGCUCUCAAAGAGUCGAGUUGUUUGGGAAUGCAGCUCAAAAUGGGUGGUAAAUUCCAUCUAAAGCUAAAUAUUGGCGAGAGACCGAUAGCGAACAAGUACCGUGAGGGAAAGAUGAAAAGAACUUUGGAAAGAGAGUUAAACAGUACGUGAAAUUGCUGAAAGGGAAACGCUUGAAGUCAGUCAUGUUGGCCAGGGAUCAGCCUUGCUUCUUGCAUGGUGUACUUUCUGGUUGAUGGGUCAGCAUCAAUUUUGACUGCUGGAAAAAGGCCUGAGGAAUGUAGCAGCUUCGGCUGUGUUAUAGCUUCUUGUCACAUACAGCAGUUGGGAUUGAGGAACUCAGCACGCCGCAAGGCCGGGUUUCGACCACGUCCGUGCUUAGGAUGCUGGCAUAAUGGCUUUAAGCGACCCGUCUUGAAACACGGACCAAGGAGUCUAACAUGCCUGCGAGUGUUUGGGUGGAAAACCCAAGCGCGUAAUGAAAGUGAAAGUUGAGAUCCCUGUCGUGGGGAGCAUCGACGCCCGGACCAGAACUUUUGGGACGGAUCCGCGGUAGAGCAUGUAUGUUGGGACCCGAAAGAUGGUGAACUAUGCCUGAAUAGGGUGAAGCCAGAGGAAACUCUGGUGGAGGCUCGUAGCGAUUCUGACGUGCAAAUCGAUCGUCAAAUUUGGGUAUAGGGGCGAAAGACU